GAGCUUGCUCCCUGAUGUUAGCGGCGGACGGGUGAGUAACACGUGGGUAACCUGCCUGUAAGACUGGGAUAACUCCGGGAAACCGGGGCUAAUACCGGAUGGUUGUUUGAACCGCAUGGUUCAGACAUAAAAGGUGGCUUCGGCUACCACUUACAGAUGGACCCGCGGCGCAUUAGCUAGUUGGUGAGGUAACGGCUCACCAAGGCGACGAUGCGUAGCCGACCUGAGAGGGUGAUCGGCCACACUGGGACUGAGACACGGCCCAGACUCCUACGGGAGGCAGCAGUAGGGAAUCUUCCGCAAUGGACGAAAGUCUGACGGAGCAACGCCGCGUGAGUGAUGAAGGUUUUCGGAUCGUAAAGCUCUGUUGUUAGGGAAGAACAAGUGCCGUUCAAAUAGGGCGGCACCUUGACGGUACCUAACCAGAAAGCCACGGCUAACUACGUGCCAGCAGCCGCGGUAAUACGUAGGUGGCAAGCGUUGUCCGGAAUUAUUGGGCGUAAAGGGCUCGCAGGCGGUUUCUUAAGUCUGAUGUGAAAGCCCCCGGCUCAACCGGGGAGGGUCAUUGGAAACUGGGGAACUUGAGUGCAGAAGAGGAGAGUGGAAUUCCACGUGUAGCGGUGAAAUGCGUAGAGAUGUGGAGGAACACCAGUGGCGAAGGCGACUCUCUGGUCUGUAACUGACGCUGAGGAGCGAAAGCGUGGGGAGCGAACAGGAUUAGAUACCCUGGUAGUCCACGCCGUAAACGAUGAGUGCUAAGUGUUAGGGGGUUUCCGCCCCUUAGUGCUGCAGCUAACGCAUUAAGCACUCCGCCUGGGGAGUACGGUCGCAAGACUGAAACUCAAAGGAAUUGACGGGGGCCCGCACAAGCGGUGGAGCAUGUGGUUUAAUUCGAAGCAACGCGAAGAACCUUACCAGGUCUUGACAUCCUCUGACAAUCCUAGAGAUAGGACGUCCCCUUCGGGGGCAGAGUGACAGGUGGUGCAUGGUUGUCGUCAGCUCGUGUCGUGAGAUGUUGGGUUAAGUCCCGCAACGAGCGCAACCCUUGAUCUUAGUUGCCAGCAUUCAGUUGGGCACUCUAAGGUGACUGCCGGUGACAAACCGGAGGAAGGUGGGGAUGACGUCAAAUCAUCAUGCCCCUUAUGACCUGGGCUACACACGUGCUAC
rnacentral:rRNA from 1 species